rnacentral:rRNA from 1 species
GAUGAACGCUAGCUACAGGCUUAACACAUGCAAGUCGAGGGGAAACGACAUUGGAAGCUUGCUUCCUUUGGGCGUCGACCGGCGCACGGGUGAGUAACGCGUAUCCAACCUUCCCGCAAGUAAGGGAUAACCCGUAGAAAUGCGGCCUAAUACCUUAUGUUUUCCUUAGAGGGCAUCUGAUGAGGAACAAAGAUCCGUCGCUUGCGGAUGGGGAUGCGUCUGAUUAGUUAGUCGGCGGGGUAACGGCCCACCGAGACGACGAUUGGUAGCCGGACUGAGAGGUUGAACGGCCACAUUGGGACUGAGACACGGCCCAG